rnacentral:misc_RNA from 1 species
GGUAAUAAGUUAAUUCAGAGGGAAAAAAUUGGUAACAAUCACCUUAUGGUUUUCUACAAAUUCCACUAUCUUUAACUGAAUUGUUCCUUUUUCUCACCCAUUGCUCCAAAUAGUGACAACUAACUUGGUAAGAAAAUGUUUUAAACGUUACCAAUCAUUGGAGGAGAUAUCAUCCAGAAAUGUUGUACCAAAUCUAUAUUUUUGUUUUCAACAGCAUGACAAA